rnacentral:lncRNA from 1 species
UCCCCCUCUGGUUCGUCAAGGUACAAACCCUAACCCUACUACGUAGCCUUCCUCCCCUCUGCUUCGUCAAGGUACUAACCCUUACUACGUAGCCUUCCUCCCCCUCUGCUUGUCAAGGUACUAACCCUUACUACGUAGCCUUCCUCCCCCUCUGCUUCGUCAAGGUACAAACCUAACCCUUACUACGUAGCCUUCCUCCCCUCUGCUUCGUCAAGGUAAAACCCUAACCCUUACUACAUAGCCUUCCUCCCUCGCUUCGUCAAGGUACAAACCCUAACCCUUCCUACGUAGCCUUCCUCCCCUCUGCUUCUCAAGGUUACAAACCUACCUUACUACGCUAGCCUUCCUCCCCCUCUGCUUCGUCAGGUACAACAACCCUUACUACGUAGCCUUCCCCCCCUCUUCGUCAAGGUAAAACCCUAACCCUUACUACGUAGCCUUCCUCCCCCUCUGCUUCGUCAAGGUACAAACCCUAACCCUUACUACGUAGCCUUCCUCCCCCUCUGCUUCGUCAAGGUACUAACCCUUACUACGUAGCCUUCCUUCCCCUCUGCUUCGUCAAGGUACAAACCCUAACCCUUACUACGUAGCCUUCCUCCCUGCUUUCAAGGUACGUCACACUCCUCCUCUCCCUCGCUCCUCCACUCUUUCCCUCCCUCCUCCUUCUUCUCCCCUCGGGUACUCAUUUCCCCUCCCCGUUAUCCAGGAACUGUCAAACCUCCUGGUACUCAUAUUCCCUCCCUGUUAUCCAAGGAACUGUCAACCCUGCUGGUACUCAUCUCCCCUCCCUGUUUCCAAGGAAACGUCAACCCUGCUGGUACUCAUCUCCCCUCCCCGUUAUCCAAGGAACUGUCAACCCUGCUGGUACUUCAUCUCCACUCCCGUUAUCCAAGGAAAUGUCAACCCUGCUUGGUACUCAUCUCCCCUCCCCUUAGUCUUUGUGUGUUCACAGUUUCCUCCUUCAGUCUCCAGGUAUCCUAGGUGUGUCUCCUGCGUUGUUGUUAAGGCCCCUGAACCUACAACGUGGUCUUCUCUCUCCCCUCAGAGUACCCAGUACUAUGACAUGCGCUGGUCCUUUGAGCACCUGAUCAUGGUGUGGAUCAAUGCGUUUGUGAUGCUGAUGAGCCAGCUGUUACCUCCCAGCUCUGUGACUGCCUGCACCGCUCUGCAGCCCACCUGGGGCGCUGGCAGAAGCUGGAGAAGGAUUCUCAGAAGCGCCACAGCUAGCUGGUCCCCACACCACACACACAACUUCUACAGCAGGCACAGCACGCCGUAG